AAUUCUCAACUUUGAACUUCGUUGUUCAAGGCUUGGAUGUGAGGGCUUGCUGGCUUCCUUCAGUGGAUGGUCUGCUCCCUUUAAAUGCAUUAGUGGGAUCCUUUGUGGACGGUCACUUGGUGUGAUAAUAUCUACGCCUUGUAGCUGUGAAGCAAAACCUAUGGGAACCUGCUUAUAACCGUCUUCGGACAAUCUAAUGACC
rnacentral:misc_RNA from 1 species